rnacentral:rRNA from 1 species
UACGGAGGGUGCAAGCGUUAAUCGGAAUUACUGGGCGUAAAGCGCACGCAGGUGGCUGAGAAAGUCGAUUGUGAAAGCCCUGGGCUUAACCUGGGAAUUGCAGUCGAAACUACUCGGCUUGAGUAUGGGAGAGGGUAGUGGAAUUCCCGGUGUAGCGGUGAAAUGCGUAGAUAUCGGGAGGAACAGCAGUGGCGAAGGCGGCUACCUGGCCCAAUACUGACACUCAGGUGCGAAAGCGUGGGGAGCAAACAGG